GCAUUUGAAUUGUAAACUUUUGGACUGUGAACAUUUUAGGCUUUGGACUUUACAUGUGGACUAUAAAUAUUUUGAUUUUAACUUUCUAUUUGAAGCGUAAAUAUUUUAGAUUGUUAAAUAUUCCUUGUACCAUGAACCCUACCAUUGAACUUUCUAUCUAUGAAUCUUCCACAAUAUCCUUGGACUUGAAUUUCUUCCAAUAUUUGAAUAUUGUGUCGACA
rnacentral:lncRNA from 1 species